rnacentral:lncRNA from 1 species
CUCCAGUGAAUUCCAGGGGGCUUAUGCACCCCGACCCCUGCCUUUGCAAUGGGCCAUGGGGGGAGAAAGCUCACCAUUUGAGGCCCACAGUCCCUGCCCCCCUAACCUUCCUCGGUACGUGGCCCAGGGCCUGGCCUCUCCUGUCACUCCCCUCUCCUGUGGCUGGAGUCUGAUCCCUUCCCACAGAGGAGGGGCUCCCUAGGGGCCUGGCCCAAUCCACUACCUUCCAGACCUUCCAUCUGCAAACACCGGGGCUAUACUGCCACUGUGUGGCAGCAUGCAGAACUGCAGCUGAGCCUACAUCGGGCCCUUGGAGAGUCUGUUGCAUUGAAGAGGAGUGGUCCAGAAGGAGUCAGCUGGAGACGUUGUUACCACUGGCCCUAUCCCAGAUCCCCUGAGUUAGAAGCUCGGGGAGGGGCCUGGGAGUCUGCAUUGAAACUUGCUUCCUGUGUGGUUCUUAUGGAGGACUGGUUGACUUCAUUUAUAGGAUCCAGGGCAAAAUAAAAAUAUGGAGUCCCUUAUUCAGAAAUUAUUAAGAAUGUCAAGACAGAAAUAGCAGAACAUUAAACUAAGUGUCAGCCUUGUAUGACUGCAUGGGUCAUGCCCACGGGGCUAUCCCUCUUCUUAUGCUCUCUACAUUUGGACAGUCACCACUGUCAUCCCUGAAUCUGUUUGAUGUGUCUUGAAUACUAACUACAUAAUAAGAUGUGGUGGUUAAAAGCGUAACCAUGGAGGUGAGGUAGUCUUUGAACAGAAUCAGACUCUUGAGUUAUGUGCCUUUGGACAUAUUUCUAACCUCUGUGAAUCUCAUUUACUUCCUCUUUAAAUAUUGGGAUAGUUUCUAUCUUAAAAGACUUGCU